rnacentral:rRNA from 1 species
CAGCAUCCGCGGUAAUACGUAGGUGGCAAGCGUUGUCCGGAAUUAUUGGGCGUAAAGGGCUCGCAGGCGGUUUCUUAAGUCUGAUGUGAAAGCCCCCGGCUCAACCGGGGAGGGUCAUUGGAAACUGGGAAACUUGAGUGCAGAAGAGGAGGGUGGAAUUCCACGUGUAGCGGUGAAAUGCGUAGAGAUGUGGAGGAACACCAGUGGCGAAGGCGACUCUCUGGUCUGUAACUGACGCUGAGGAGCGAAAGCGUGGGGAGCGAACAGGAUUAGAUACCCCUGUAGUCCCUGUCUCUUAUAC